UAAUUUCCCUGGCAGGUGAGAUAGCAAUGUUGUGUAGGUGGUUUUCCCGGGUGAGCCUCACCCAUUGCACUUUGGGUGUGCUGACCCCUGUGAUUUCCUCAAAUGUGAGGAAACUCAACUGCAUAAUUUGUGGUGGUGGGGACUGUGUUGUACUCUCUCCU